UACGAAGGGUGCAAGCGUUGUCCGGAAUUAUUGGGCGUAAAGAGCUCGUAGGCGGUCUGUCGCGUCUGCUGUGAAAACUCAGGGCUUAACCCUGAGCUUGCAGUGGGUACGGGCAGACUAGAGUGCGGUAGGGGAGACUGGAAUUCCUGGUGUAGCGGUGAAAUGCGCAGAUAUCAGGAGGAACACCGGUGGCGAAGGCGGGUCUCUGGGCCGAUACUGACGCUGAGGAGCGAAAGCGUGGGGAGCGAACAGG
rnacentral:rRNA from 1 species